GCAUGGAGGAGGAUCUUGAAGCCUUCCUUCGUUCAAGGCAUGUUACAGAAGAUGACAUAAAUCGGAUGAAAGUGGAUAAGAUUGAUAGAGGGGUCAUUUGUGUGAUGACGGACGAAGAAUUUUCAAGAUACAUUCCUUCAUAUGGCGACCGAUUGGCUAUUGCAUCAUUUUGUCGACGAAUGGAAGCUAACUUUGACAAGGAGGGCAUUUUAAACAGAAUUAGGCAAACAAUUGAAACAAGGCGAAUGAUGAGCAAAAGACAUGUCAAAGUACCCCAGCAAACAUCUGUAGGAAAUUCUGGCUUGAUGGCAAGGCCUAAAAACAGCAACGCGGUGAAAUCAAAACGCAGAAUUGAAGUGGGAUGGCUGCACUUUCAAAGCGGGGAUUUUCACCAAGUUAGGUCUAAAUGUGGAGGUGGAACCAGACACCUUGAAAUGGAGAAAACCACCACUGUCAGAAGUCAUGACCACUGCAAAAGAGUUGUUUUUUCCUGGUGGACUAUCAUCAAAGGGCUCCAUUAUGGACUUCACACUUAGCAUGUGUGACUUUAAAAGACAAGCUGUACCUCUAGACAGUACUCUUUCAGAACUAUAUGAACAAUUUAAAUUGAAAAUGGUACGGCUUUAUUUGUGCACAAAGGAGUUGGAGCAUUCAUCCGAUGACCAAAAUGAUCUCUUUGAACAGCCUCCCAAUGUUGGAAGAGUUGCUCAACACUCAACUUCUGCCCCUUCUGCUGAGCCAUUAACUUCAAUGAAGUCUUUGCAAGGCUAUACCUCAGGGGAAGCGGGGCACUCAAGCCAGUACCUUAUCACAGAUGAAGCAUUGUUGAGUCCACAACACAGAGCUUUACCAGAUGGAACUGAAGGUCAUGAUCCUGUGUAUGUCAUUGAUGAUGAUGUGGAACUUUUACAUCCUGCCUUGCAUUCAACACCUGGUCCUUCAAACCAGGAAACUGAGUAUUUCUAUGGAAUUCAUAGUAUGGAAAACCCAGUGGUAAUGCAAGAAACCGAAACAGUGAUGGCCAACUUCAACAGCGUUAAUGGUCUGGAUGAGAUGGAGGAUUCUGGAGUAGUAC